rnacentral:lncRNA from 1 species
UCAGGGAGCCGGGGAGCAGCUGCCCCCUGCCCGCCCGGCAGCUUGUCCCCAUGGCCGUGCACAAACACAAGCCACGAAGCCAAUAAACAGCGAUCGGUACCGCGCAGCGGAGGCACCGCAUGCUCGGCGGCGGGCGGGCUCCCGGGCGGCUUUCCCCCGUGGCAGGCGGGGGGAGGAGGAGGAGGAGGAGGUGCGGGGGGGGGGGGGGGGGGGGUCUCCCAGCCGGGGGGUCGGGCAGGGGGAGGGUUUUCUCCCCCCUUUUUUUUUUUUCCUUUUUUUUUUUUUUUCUUGUGCGUGCAAUCCAGGCAGCCUCCGCCGCGCCUCCCCGCCGUCAGCCCGACAUUGGCGAUGUUUUAACUCGCCUCCCAGCCCCGAACUUGGGGCGGCGUGAGCGUGUGUGUGUGUGUGUGUGUGUGAGUGUGCCGGGGGGGGGACCAUCCCCGCAGGAGGCAGCUCCCUUUCCGAUAGGAAUCUGGGACAGAUUUUGCCAGCAGCCACCGAGCGUGGCCCGGCGGCACGGAGCAGCCCGUGUAACCCGACACUCCAACUUGCCGUGCGCCCUGCGAGUUGAUUCACUUACUCACCGCCGGCACCGCGCUGCCGCUCGCUGCCGUGGGCGAGGAGAGGGGGGAGAGGGGACGGGGAGAGAGAGGAGAGCAGAGAGAGGGGGGAGAAGAAAAAAGGGGGCGGGGGGGGGGGGGGGGGGGGAGCCGGGCGAGAGGGGGAAUAAAACAAUCUGCCUGGCGGAAUACCCCGCUAGAGCCGCGGAGCGCUGGGGGAGCGAGGACGCUGCCUGGUGCCGAGCCCAGCCGGGUAAGUUGGGGGGCGCCGCUCGCAGCCCCCCGGGCAGGGGGCGCGGACAAUGGGGGGGGGGGAGCGCGGGGAGCGCCCCUGGGGGGCCCGGCCCGGCCCGGGGCGAAGUUGGCGGCGGGGGCCGGCAAAACAAAGGGGGCCGGGGCCGGGGGGGCGAGCCCCGGGGGCGAGCUGCUGGCGGCCGGCUCGGGAGCGGGGCCUCCCCGGCGGGCGGCAGGAAGGAGCCGCCGGCGGUCACCCCCCCCCCCUCCUCCCUGCUGGCCUUGCCCUGCCCCCGGUGCAUCUGUCCGGGGGGACCCGGCUCGGCUCGGCUCGGCUGGGCUCUGCUCGGCCCGGCCCGGCCGCCGCACAAAGCGAGGGGAGCGGCGGCGGAGCCGCUCCGGGAAUGUAAACACGGCGCGGGGCCGCCGGGC